rnacentral:rRNA from 1 species
GACGAACGCUGGCGGCGUGCCUAAUACAUGCAAGUCGAGCGGAACUGGGGGAGCUUGCUCCUUCCAGUUUAGCGGCGGACGGGUGAGUAACACGUGGGCAACCUGCCCUGCAGAUCGGGAUAACUCCGGGAAACCGGUGCUAAUACCGAAUAGUUUGGCGCCUCUCCUGAGGCGCUACGGAAAGACGGUUUCGGCUGUCACUGCAGGAUGGGCCCGCGGCGCAUUAGCUAGUUGGUGGGGUAACGGCCCACCAAGGCGACGAUGCGUAGCCGACCUGAGAGGGUGACCGGCCACACUGGGACUGAGACACGGCCCAGACUCCUACGGGAGGCAGCAGUAGUGAAUCUUCCGCAAUGGACGCAAGUCUGACGGAGCAACGCCGCGUGAGUGGCGAAGGUUUUCGGAUCGUAAAACUCUGUUGUGAGGGAAGAACACGUACCAACUACUAUUGGUACCUUGACGGUACCUCACCAGAAAGCCACGGCUAACUACGUGCCAGCCGCCGCCGUAA